CAUCCUUUUCUCCGCAUUAACGUGCACAGCCGUCGAGCUUCUUCUUAUGCACAUUCGAUCCCUUGGGCCACAUGCCUAGCACCCUGCACCCAGCCAGCACAUCUUACAAGCUCAAAGGCCCAUUGUGUGUGCUCCCCUCUUUCUUUUGAGUCCUUAGCCACUUCUUCCCAUGCACCCAAAUCAUUUUCACAAGCUCAAACCCAAACGCCCACUUUAUUUUGAAU
rnacentral:lncRNA from 1 species